rnacentral:rRNA from 1 species
GAUGAACGCUAGCGGCAGGCCUAAUACAUGCAAGUCGAACGGGAUUAAGAGGCUUGCUUCUUAUGAGAGUGGCGCACGGGUGCGUAACACGUAUGCAACCUACCUUCAACUGGGGGAUAGCCUUCCGAAAGGGAGAUUAAUACCGCAUAAUAUAAUUGAGUGGCAUCACUUGAUUAUCAAACGUCAGGGUUGAAGAUGGGCAUGCGUCCGAUUAGUUUGUUAGUGAGGUAACGGCUCACCAAGACUACGAGCGGUAGGGGAUCUGAGAGGAUGGCCCCCCACGCUGGUACUGAGACACGGACCAGACUCCUACGGGAGGCAGCAGUAAGGAAUAUUGGCCAAUGGACGGAAGUCUGAACCAGCCAUGCCGCGUGCAGGAAGACGGUCCUCUGGAUUGUAAACUGCUUUUGUUAGGGAAGAAACUUCCGUACGUGUACGGGACUGACGGUACCUAAAGAAUAAGGAUCGGCUAACUCCGUGCCAGCCGCCGCGGUAAGAC